rnacentral:tRNA from 1 species
UACGGAGACGCUACGGACUUAAAAUCCGUCGACUUUAAAAAUCAUGAGGGUUCAAGUCCCUCUAUCCCCA